rfam:Euryarchaeota archaeon TMED129 26472, whole genome shotgun sequence.
CUACGACACAAUUGACGCCUCACCAAGACUAAACAGCGUCAUUAAAUAACAGUCUUUAAUACCUGCUGCUGAGGGUGCAACAGGAAUAUCUAUCAGU